rnacentral:rRNA from 1 species
ACGAGAAUCUGUGGAAAGAGGAUUCGUCCAAUUGAAGCAGAGGACAGUGGCGGACGGGUGAGUAACGCGUGAGGAACCUGCCUUUCAGAGGGGGACAGCAGUUGGAAACGACUGCUAAUACCGCAUGACACAUAGGUGUCGCAUGGCACUUAUGUCAAAGAUUUAUCGCUGAAAGAUGGCCUCGCGUCUGAUUAGCUAGUUGGUGAGGUAACGGCCCACCAAGGCGACGAUCAGUAGCCGGACUGAGAGGUUGAACGGCCACAUUGGGACUGAGAUACGGCCCAGACUCCUACGGGAGGCAGCAGUGGGGAAUAUUGGGCAAUGGGCGCAAGCCUGACCCAGCAACGCCGCGUGAAGGAAGAAGGCUUUCGGGUUGUAAACUUCUUUUGUCAGGGACGAGUAGAAGACGGUACCUGACGAAUAAGCCACGGCUAACUACGUGCCAGCAGCCGCGGUAAUACGUAGGUGGCAAGCGCUGUCCGGAUUUACUGGGUGUAAAGGGCGUGUAGCCGGGAGGGCAAGUCAGAUGUGAAAUCCACGGGCUCAACUCGUGAACUGCAUUUGAAACUACUCUUCUUGAGUAUCGGAGAGGCAAUCGGAAUUCCUAGUGUAGCGGUGAAAUGCGUAGAUAUUAGGAGG